GUAGUGACGAAAAAUAACGAUGCAGAACUCAAUCCGAGGCUCUGCAAUCGGAAUGAGUACACUCUAAAUCAUUUAACGAGUAUCCAUUGGAGGACAAGUCUGGUGCCAGCACCCGCGGUAAUUCCAGCUCCAAAAGCGUAUAUUAAAGUUGUUGCGGUUAAAAAGCUCGUAGUUGAACUUGUGUUUAAAGCUGUCGGUUCAUUGUUUUGUCGAUGUUUAACUGACAUGCCUUUAAACGUCCUGCCGGUUGGUGACGUGUUUUCACCCUUACGGGUGGGGUGCGUCUGCCAGUUCCAAUCCUGUCGCGGUGCUCUUCACCGAGUGUCGAGGCGGGCCGGCACGUUUUACCUUGAACAAAUUUGAGUGCUUAAAGCAGGCUGUAAUGCCGGAAAACUGUGUGCAUGGAAUAAUAUAAUAGGACCGCGGUUCUAUUUUGUUGGUUUUCAGAGUCCGAGGUAAUGAUUAAUAGGGACUGGCGGGGGCAUUAGUAUUGCGACGUUAGAGGUGAAAUUCUUGGAUCGUCGCAAGACUAACCUAAGCGAAAGCAUUUGCCAAGGAUGCUUCCAUUAAUCAAGAACGAAAGUUAGAGGUUCGAAGGCGAUCAGAUACCGCCCUAGUUCUAACCAUAAACGAUGCCAGCCAGCGAUCCGUCGACGUUCUUUUAUGACUCGACGGGCAGCUUCCGGGAAACUAAAGCAUUUGGGUUCCGGGGGAAGUAUGGUUGCAAAGCUGAAACUUAAAGGAAUUGACGGAAAGGCACCACCAGGAGUGGAGCCUGCGGCUUAAUUUGACUCAACACGGGAAAUCUCACCAGGCCAGAACACCAGGUGGAUUGACAGAUUGAGAGCUCUUUCUUGAUUUGGUGGGUGGUGGUGCAUGGCCG
rnacentral:rRNA from 1 species